CACAGCACACUUCAGUCCUUCAAGCAGAGACCACCCGCAGGGGAAGCCAGGAGCCCCAGUGGUAGCAAAUGGCCUCAGGCGGCGGUGCCCAGCCUCCCCAGGGCUGGCAGCCCCCGGGCACAGGGCUGAGCUCUGGGGGGACACCCCUCUGCCAGCCCUGUGGAGAGCAGCCGUGAGCUCAAGGCUGAGCUCUUCCUGAGCCUACCUAGAGGCAGAAUUUGUUCAUGCCGAAAGGCGCGUGCCUGCAGCCCGUGCUCCCUCCCCGGACCGCGUAGCCUUGCCGAUGUAAAUUUGGGAUUGAGGGGAGGCACAAGCACGGCACAGAUCUGUGGAUUCUGUCUUCAGCAGUGCUCAGAGCAGCACAUCAACUCCAGCGCUCACGUGUACCCCAACGGGGAUUUGCUGUCAUCUGAGGGGACCUGCUUUCACUACCUCACCUCCAAGGUGAAUACCUUGUAAAAUUGUUCCAGCCAAGGGUGCCAAACAGCUGCUCAAGCCCUUCAGAAAAACCAAGGCUCUGCAAUCAUUAACAAGUACUUGUGACAUGCUGCCUCAUUGAAAGAGAAAACUACUCCCCUUCAGCAGCAAACGGUAAGUGUACCAAACAAGAAAACUUAUCAGAUGUUGAUGUCAUGAGGGGUAUAUAAUCUGUCCUCAGAAAUAAGGCCAUGGGGGUUCUCUUAGUAGCUACUAUCCUACUGGAAUGAUAAACAUGAGCUUGCAUGAGGCGGAGGAGCCAGUUCCCGUUGAAAGUGGAAACUCAUUCUUCGUCACCCUAAUCCCAAGUCAGGAGUCUCUCCCUCUCUGAAUAUAUGUGAAAUCUGCUCCAGGACAAACAGCGCUGGUGUUGGGUGGUGUGACCAGAGACCCUCUCAGAGCUGGAGCACAGUGUUAGCAUCCUCCUAGCCAGAGCAAUGCUGUGUCUCUGCAUCCACUUAGCUUCUUAGCAUGCCCAAAUCGAGAAGGCCAUCAGGGAGGCUCUCAGAAAUGAGUCAAACACUACAAGAUCCCCCCCUUUUGCACUCACUCAGCUCCCCUGAGAGAGGAAGGAGCAGGGAAUGGGAUGCUCAGAUUGCCCCAGCCACUUCUGGGGCAAACAUUUACUUUAGAUUAAGUGGCAUGUAAAGAAGAGUGGAGCCUUCUCUGGCUGGCUGAGGGUUGAUAGUUAAAUAUUUAUAAUGUCCAAAUUAGCAUAGUGAAAGCUCAAUUCAUCAAUUUGUUCUGGUCUGUUUGUAAGAAGGGGAAGGGGUAUCAGGCACCCCGCAGGAGAUGCAGCCGUAGGUGGGCAGGGCACGCAUUCUGCCUCCAUCAGGGCUCCACAGUGUGGCUCCCUGCUGGCACCGAGACCUGUUGCCCUGGCUUAGCCCUUUGGUGGGGUUCGGGAAGAGGCUGGCCACGGGGGCAGGGCUGUGGGGAUCUCUCCUCUUCUCCAAACCCAGUGCCAGGGGAGCAGCCCCAGGCCGCCAGGGGGGCUGCAGGGAGCAGCACGGCCAGGCAACACCAGCCUGGGGCUGCCCACACGGGGGCCGAGGAGGGUGCGGGAUGCCCUGGAAGGGUUAAGGCUUUUCAGGCCAAAAUCCCCCAACAGAAGGCAGGGUCAGCUUCGGAGCUGAAAUCUAAGUGCUAAUGACGGAUGCCCUUCACCCCUCCGCUGCCUGCAAAGGAGAGUGCCCUGGAUGAGCUGGGGCCAGAGAGCAUUUAACAUUUGAACUUUUUCUCGUCUGCAAGGCAGCAGGCCGUUGUGCACAGGGUCGCUGACCCCCAGCCCCGCUCCCCACAGCCCCUCAGCUGCCUCCCAGCCCUAAUUGAAUGACAGAUGGUCAGCGGCAGGGAGAGGGCAGGAGCAGGGCCCCACGUCCCUGGCGGUCCUGCCCACACACCCCCCGCGCCGGCUGCCCCCGAGGCUGCGUGGCACCACUGCCCAGCCCAGCACAUCGAUGGGGACAGGGCAGCGGGCAGGGCUGGGCGUGGGGUGCUGCACUGUGGAGCCCUGGGGGGCCAGCCCAGCCCCAGCACCUCACCCAUUCUUCCCAUCCCUCUGCCAUGCAACAGAACAUCACUACAUCCGUGAUACCAGACCGGGACGGAGUGGCCAAGGCCUCCCGCUGCUCCUGGCAGUGCCAGAGCCGGGGAAGGCGAGGAGCUGGGCUGAGCCGCUGGGAUGUGCGGCAGCCGCAGGGAGCCCAGGUACUGUGGCCAGCCCCUUCCCCUGCCUGCUCUCUCCCCCUGCCAUGCCUCAAGCCGGGGGUGCUGGACAUGUCCUGCCCUGAGUGGAGGAUGCCACAGGUGACAGCAGGGGCCUUACUGCAACCGCACAGGGGCCUGUGGAAGUGGCCCUUGGUGGGGCCAGAGCCUGCCCCUGCCUCCUGCCCGCCGCCCUGCUGACUGCCUUCCAGGCAGAGCCAGGCAGGCCUGGGUGGCCCUGCGGGGGCAGGGGCUGUGCCCCCCAGCUGCCGAGCGCAGCCCCCACUGGAGCCCGCUGUCCCUUUAACAGGGAGCCGUGAUUCCCACAAUUACUGGGAUUACAAGGGAAAGGGUUAUCGAUUUGCAGCCUGCACUGUGUGAUCAGCGCCCGGGAGGCCCCCCCCGGCCCACCUCUCCUACUGUAAGCACGAAACCAUUUAUAAAUGUUUUAUUUCACUGAUCGCCUCACCCUGGCUGCAUAAUAAUAACCCCAGCAGCGCAGAGAUAUAUUCUCUCCACUCCCCCUUUCCCCGCGCCCGCAGCCUGCAAAAGGCACCAACGUGAUAUGCAGCAGCCCCUGAUUUGUGUGUAUGUUUUAAUUACCGCCGGAGAAACCUGUACACAAGCAUAAAAAAGGGUGAGGGAAAAGGAGAGCAGGCCCAGACGGCGCAGGCAAUGGCAGCCUAAUGCACCGCUGGCUGACAGCGACUUCCGCUCAGGCACCUUCUCCAGAUCGAACCCUUCGAUUGUAACUGAACCAAUUUGCAUACUGAUUCCUCUCAUAGCCUCCCGAUCCAUAACCAGCCAGGCAGCUAUUCAAAUGCAAGUAGCAUCCCUAAAUGCAAGGCUAGACUGACCAAAAUGCGCUGUCCAACAAGCAGAAGGAGAAGGAAAAAAAAAAAAAAAAGGCCUUGAUUAUUAUUUCUAUUUUUUGUUCCUUUUAACCUUUAAAAGGUUUAGCUGGAAGCUGUUUGUUUAUGACUGGGGAUGUAAGGGAGAGAAUUGAUCCUGGACUGGACUUAAAGAUGGAGCAAAAUGGGGCGCUGGAGAGAUUUUUCGUUGUGGGGGUUUUUGGUGUGGUGUUUUUUUGGUUUUUUGGGGUUUUUUUUACUUCCUAUUUUUAUUUUUACCAAAGCCACAAACUGAGGCUCUCUGGGGGGGAAAGAGGGUCUGUCCUCUCUCCCACUCCCCACCUCCACCAAAAGCAGCUCAGCUCCUGCAGACCCGGGGAAGACACAAAGUGCUGGCAAUGCUUCUGCCUCUGGUGCGUGUUGGGCUGAUGAAGAACGUGUAAUUCUGGCUGUAAAUUCUUCCGUUUAAGUUGGUCCAAUAAAAGAUCUCUCCUACA